rnacentral:rRNA from 1 species
AUUGAACGCUAGCGGGAUGCUUUACACAUGCAAGUCGAACGGCAGCGCGGACUUCGGUCUGGCGGCGAGUGGCGAACGGGUGAGUAAUGUAUCGGAACGUGCCCAGUAGCGGGGGAUAACUACGCGAAAGCGUAGCUAAUACUGCAUACGCCCUACGGGGGAAAGCAGGGGAUCGUAAGACCUUGCACUAUUGGAGCGGCCGAUAUCGGAUUAGCUAGUUGGUGAGGUAACGGCUCACCAAGGCGACGAUCCGUAGCUGGUUUGAGAGGACGACCAGCCACACUGGGACUGAGACACGGCCCAGACUCCUACGGGAGGCAGUAGUGGGGAAUUUUGGACAAUGGGGGCAACCCUGAUCCAGCCAUCCCGCGUGUGCGAUGAAGGCCUUCGGGUUGUAAAGCACUUUUGGCAGGAAAGAAACGUCGCGGGCUAAUACCCCGUGGAACUGACGGUACCUGCAGAAUAAGCACCGGCUAACUACGUG